rnacentral:rRNA from 1 species
GACGAACGCUGGCGGCGUGCCUAAUACAUGCAAGUCGAGCGGACAGAUGAAGAAGCUUGCUUCUUCUGACGUUAGCGGCGGACGGGUGAGUAACACGUGGGCAACCUACCUUAUAGUUUGGGAUAACUCCGGGAAACCGGGGCUAAUACCGAAUAAUCUAUUCCUUCUCAUGUAGGAAUACUAAAAGACGGUUUCGGCUGUCGCUAUAAGAUGGGCCCGCGGCGCAUUAGCUAGUUGGUGAGGUAACGGCUCACCAAGGCAACGAUGCGUAGCCGACCUGAGAGGGUGAUCGGCCACACUGGGACUGAGACACGGCCCAGACUCUACGGGAGGCUG